GCUGAUACAAAAAAAAAGUCCAGUAGCGGCUGGUACAUGUUUAUGAACUUUUUUUCAGUGUAGUUUUACAGUAGGCUACAAAAAUUACCACAAAAUGUGUAACUAGUCAGCGGCAGGUGAUAGAAAGACAGCGGUGGGCAUUACUGUGGUCUCACAGCUUCUCCUUGCCAACUCUGAGCAGAAUAAAUCAAUACAUUUGAAAUUAAAUAAAUGUAGAAUGAAUAAAUAAAUAAGAAAAACAUAAAUAUUCACUUGUUUUAUUUCUUUGUAUAUUUACUUUUGUAUACUCGGUGGUUAUUUCAGCACACAGACGUAAUGUAUUUCCCUCUGAAUAUCUCUGACAUGUUUGUAGGUUAUGUGUCGUCUUGUAAAAGCCCGAGCCCUGGUUUGGAAUUGUAGAACUUUCAGAACCUUUAUUUUGUUCCGCUGGUGUGACGUCACAGAGCGGCGGCGCGCUUCCGCGUCUGUCUGUCUGUCUGUCAGCUGAAGGAAGGUUUGUGGUUGUGUUUUCAUCGAUACAACGCGGCGAGUCUACUUUAAAGUUCAUACAAGCGCUCGUUGAAGUGGAACGGCAUGGCCGUGUGGGACGAGGCCGCUGAAGAUGUACUGAUCAGCUUGGUUCAGGAGAGGCCAGCUCUGUACAACACCAGCAAGUAUCGCUAUGACAACCGAGUGGCGAAAGAUAAGUUUUGGCGCGAGCUCGAAGCCAGGCUUGUUGUAUCAGAGAAAGAGCUCAGGAAAAGGUGGGUUUCUCUUCGAUCCCAGUAUGUGCAUUACAGAAGAUUAGUAACUUCAGGAAGCAGAGGAGCGCAGAUGACCUACAGACAGCAAUGGAUCCUGGACCGCCUGCAGUUUUUGGAGCCACACAUAGUAACAAAGGAGAGCACAUCCAGUCCAAAUAUCAGUGAUAGAAUGUCCAAACAAGAGGAGAAAAAGGAGAAUGAAGACUUGAAGAUUGAAGAAACAUUCAGAGUCAAACACAAAGAUACUGAGAAACAAACAGGUUGGUUUUCAUUUUCAAAUCUGAACUCACUCAUUCAAUCCUUAUUAAAAUGUCAGAAACAGAAAUGA
rnacentral:lncRNA from 12 species